UACGUAGGGGCCUAGCGUUGUCCGGAAUUAUUGGGCGUAAAGAGCUCGUAGGCGGUUCGGCAAGUCGGAUGUGAAAUCUCCACGCUCAACGUGGAGGGGCCAUUCGAAACUGCCGUGACUCGAGUCCGGUAGGGGAGUGUGGAAUUCCCGGUGUAGUGGUGGAAUGCGUAGAUAUCGGGAGGAACACCAGUGGCGAAGGCGGCUUCCUGGACCGGUUCUGACACUGAGGAGCGAAAGCGUGGGGAGCGAUCCGG
rnacentral:rRNA from 1 species